GUGCUCACUUUGGCGGCACAUAUACUAAAAAUUGGAAUGCUACAGAGAGCAUUAGCAUGGCUCCUGCACAAGGAUGGCAUGUCAGUUCAUGAUAUAGUCCAUAUUAAA
ensembl:snRNA U6 U6 spliceosomal RNA